UUGGCUUCCAUCCUACGGUUCAUUAGCUUUGCACUCUGUUCAUAUGUGCUAGUUAAUAUAAAAUGUGAAGCCUACAAUUUCUGCUCCCCUCGCUAUCCGGUGCGGUUGCUAGUGUUGCAUUUGGACGUUGGGGAUCUAUAUUU